CCUGACAGUCUCUGAUAGCUGAAUAAUGGAUGAAGCUCCACUGUUUACUUAGCAGGAGAAAAAAAGAGAGAAUGAUAGAGAAGUCCAGAUAAAGUGCAGGAAUCUGACAUCCUCUUGUGCUGAACAAUGGGUCAACCAUACCAAGUCAGUCAAGUCGAAAGCUGUGGGGGUGUUCGUCUUCUGAGAGAACCCUCCCCAUGAAAUCUCCCACAAUGCCUGUCACCGGUACCUAAAAUUCCACCAUUAGAGAUUCACUCUUUUGGUUCUGGAGGCAUUUUAAUCCCUGGGGGUCCUAUUAAAAUGCAAAAACUCCGAGAAGAAUAACAGCAUUGAAAGCUAUUAUUAACUGACAGCAAGGAGGCCCUGGGGAAUUGGACACAGGAUAGAGCCUGAGGAACAACUCCAGGAAAUCGGGGCGAGAGCAGAGGGAAGGUAGGAUGGCAGCAAAAAUAAACUUUAUCUACUUCGCCAUUUUGUAGGGGCAAGGCAGCCCCACUUCUGAUAUUCUGUACACUGAGGAAAUUCCAUUCAAGAGACAGCGAUGUGGAACUUUUCUUUUUCUGCUUGCUUUUAAAAUUGUACAUUUCACAUACACUGGGAAUGUUUCUGUAGAAAACAUGGAAGUGACUUAAACUAAUAAGGUGUCUCCAGAAGAGAAGAACUAGGAGUCUACGGAAGCUGACUUUGUGGAUUUCAGAAAAUCUGCCUGUAUCUCAUAAGGCACUGAUUGGCAGCAGCAGAAGUUGGUCCCAGAGCCAUCUCUCUCC
rnacentral:lncRNA from 1 species